GAGAGUUAAACAGUACGUGAAAUUGUUGAAAGGGAAACGAUUGAAGCCAGUCGUACCUUCGGGUAAUCAGCCUUUCGGGUGCGAUUCUGUGGGGUGUGAAGAGUUAAACGCCUUCACGUUUUGCAUAUUCGUGCUCUUGGGUGUACUUGCCCGUGUGGUUGGUUAACAUCAAUUUUGGACGCCAUAAAAUGACUGGAGGAAUGUAGCUUCGAUCUCGUAUUGAAGUGUUAUAGCCUUCGGUAGAUGUGGUUUUCGAGAUUGAGGAUUGCAACGGAUACCCUUCGGGGCUACCUAUCUGAUCUCUGAUCGUUGCUCUGGUGCCGAAAGCUUGCUUACGGUUAUCAAAGUCGAUGGUCAAUAUGUUAGAAUGGGUUAAAUUCGUUAAGGAUGUUGACGUAAUGGCUUUAAACGA
rnacentral:rRNA from 1 species